rnacentral:lncRNA from 1 species
UUUUGGCUCAGGUUAUAUUGUUCAGAUAUAUUGCUCAGAUAUAUUGUUCAGAUAUAUUGCUCAGAUUAUAGUGUUCCCUAUAAGAUCUUGACUCAGUGUCAUGAUUCAGCUUCCAAGUCUGAACUGUGGCCCUGAUCAGUCCAUCCUGGGGAAUAUGCUCAGUGAACUAUCCCUGUCUGAGAUUGGUAUUCAUGUGGUGUGUGAGAUAACUCCUAGACCCCCAACACUGAAAACAUUCUAAGCCUAGAUAAAAUUGUGUGGAGGCUAGAAGCUUAGGAUAUUUUCAAGUUACAGUAGCUUUUUUUAGAUGAAAAUUUAUACUAAAUCAAGGGAUAUCUGUAGAUUCUACACCACCAUUUAAACUACAGGAUCAUUUUCUUUGGUAAGAAAUUCAACAUGGUUCCUUAUUCUCCUUGACUCUUUAUUCUUCUUCCACUAUAGAAUUGUGAACACUAUAGACAUGAGUCACGUGUAAUUCUGCCAUUUGUCUUGCCCACCCAGCAACUGUUAUUACUCCAUACCUAUUACUAAUUAUCCCAAAUACUAAUGGUAUGUACUUACAUAAAUCACUUAAAGUAUCAUUGGUUGCUAUUAUCUUUCCUUUCAAACAUUUAUGUUCCCCAACUCCUCUUAGUACUGGGUAUUGAGGAGUAGUUGCAAGCAAUUUUUUAAAGGACCAGAUAUAAGGAAGUUGAGCUCGGACAAAUGCAGUGUGCAUUUAAUGCUAUAUAUCUCUAAGGUUGACAUUCACUUCCCUGUGUAGUUAAGUAGCCUUCCCGUAGGAAUGAUCCCUAUAUGAACUAGUCAACUCACCUGGAGUCUUGAAAAGUAGGUGCAGGAUAAGAGGCUGAUGGAUGACGUGGAUAUGAUACCUGUACCAUGAGCACGGAGGUGAUAGAGAAGAAACAAAGGUAAAGUAACAGAGAGCCUCAUCUGUGAACAGUUGUCAGCAAAAUGUUUGGAUGUCAUAAACACCCAGUGCAAAGACUGUAUCUGAUAAUACAAAGUGCACAGCUGCAGAUACGUCACACAGUCUUUUUGAUAGCAGUGACACAACAUAGGAUUACUUUGCAAAUCAGAAUCCAAGCAGCACUCUUGAGUAGCAUUUUUUCAUGUGUGUGCAUGUGCACAUUCUCAUAUGGGCGUGCCUCUAUGGCACUCACUUGACUUCAUCUCCACAACACUGGGAUUACAGAAGCUCACACUAUGCUCAGCUUUUUACAUGGAUUCUAAAGGUCAAACUCCGGGCCCCUGCUUGCAAGGCCAGCACUUUACCAACUAUGCUGUCUCCCUCUUUAACCCCUGCAGGAAGCAUUCCAAUCUGUGGGUAGAUUCAAUGUUUUAUGCGACCAAAUCACCAAUAAUAAUUUUAAAAGUUGAUCAAGCACAUGAGUAGGAAUACUGAAUUAUAUCCCUAUUCUUUCUGUAAUAAUUGUGUAUUCAAAUUUUAUGAAAAGGCUGUGAAGGCAUGCAGACAAAAUUUGAGCAGAGACAUAGCAGGUGCUUAAUUCAAAUGCUGUAUUCCUUGACUUAGGAAUAUUGGUAUUAUCUUUUAGUAGCAUUCCUUGUAUAAUGCUUUGUGA